GUCGGCGUGGCGGAAUUGGUAGACGCGCAUGGUUGAGGGCCAUGUGCCCUUCGGGGCUUGGGGGUUCAAGUCCCCCCGCCGACA
rnacentral:tRNA from 1 species